UUUCACUCCUCACAAUGAGGUUCCCUGCUCAGCUGCUGGUGCUGUUGAUGCUCUGGAUCCCAGGAUCUAUUGGCGUUAUUGUGUUGACACAGACCCCUCUGUCCCUGCCUGUUACCCCUGGACAGCCGGCCUCCAUCUCCUGCUGGGCCAGUCAGAGCCUCCAGGAUAGAUAUGGAGACAACCUUUUAAAUUGGUACCAGCAGAAGCCGGGCCAGUCUCCAAGGCUCCUCAUCUAUACAGCUUCCAAUCGGGCCUCUGGGGUCCCUGACAGGUUCAGUGGCAGCGGGUCAGGGACAGAUUUCACCCUGAGAAUCAGCAGGGUGGAGACUGAGGACGUGGGAGUUUAUUACUGCCAGCAAGCUCUACAAACUCCUCCCACGGUGAUUAAACGUUAAAC